rnacentral:rRNA from 1 species
AAUGAACGCUGGCGGCAUGCCUAACACAUGCAAGUCGAACGAAGCCUUCGAGCUUAGUGGCGCACGGGUGCGUAACGCGUGGGAAUCUGCCCUUGGGUUCGGAAUAACUCUCCGAAAGGAGUGCUAAUACCGGAUGAUGUCGAAAGACCAAAGAUUGAUCGCCCAGGGGUGAGCCCGCGUAGGAUUAGCUAGUUGGUGAGGUAAAAGCUCACCAAGGCGACGAUCCUUAGCUGGUCUGAGAGGAUGAUCAGCCACACUGGGACUGAGACACGGCCCAGACUCCUACGGGAGGCAGCAGUGGGGAAUAUUGGACAAUGGGCGAAAGCCUGAUCCAGCAAUGCCGCGUGAGUGAUGAAGGCCUUAGGGUUGUAAAGCUCUUUUACCCGGGAUGAUAAUGACAGUACCGGGAGAAUAAGCCCCGGCUAACUCCGUGCCAGCCGCCGCGGUAA